rnacentral:tRNA from 1 species
GGGGCCAUAGCUCAGGAGGCGAGCGACUCCCUUGCAAGGAGAAGGCCGGGGUGCGACUCCCCGUGGCUCCACCA